rnacentral:rRNA from 1 species
ACAAGUAGUCAGAGCCCGUUAAUGGGUGAUGGCGUGCCUUUUGUAGAAUGAACCGGCGAGUUACGAUUUGAUGCAAGGUUAAGCAGUAAAUGUGGAGCCGUAGCGAAAGCGAGUCUGAAUAGGGCGUUUAGUAUUUGGUCGUAGACCCGAAACCAGGUGAUCUACCCUUGGUCAGGUUGAAGUUCAGGUAACACUGAAUGGAGGACCGAACCGACUUACGUUGAAAAGUGAGCGGAUGAACUGAGGGUAGCGGAGAAAUUCCAAUCGAACCUGGAGAUAGCUGGUUCUCUCCGAAAUAGCUUUAGGGCUAGCCUCAAGUGAUGAUUAUUGGAGGUAGAGCACUGUUUGGACGAGGGGCCCCUCUCGGGUUACCGAAUUCA